GGAUAGCGCAGUUGGUUAGAGCGUGGCGCUGAUAAUGGCAAGGUUGCAGGUUCAAUCCCCAUAUGCGACA
rnacentral:tRNA from 1 species